AAGGAACAGAGCUCAAGGAUAUAUUAGUGAGAAGCCUAAAAUCUGCUGGCUUCAGAUUUAACUCUACUCACUGACAAGUGAGAAACACAGUUUGUAGAGUUAUUAGAGGGGUAGAGGUGUCUGCAGUUUUCUGACUUAUGUCAUUGUGACUGUCCUUAUUUUUUUAAAUAAGGUUGUGGUGGAAAGUUAGUUAUUUUAUACAAGGGGAAAAGAAUUUGCUGUGAAGGGAGCAGCAUAUAACUUUCCACCUCUAUGUUUUAACGUUCAUUUUGAGUAGGACUAGGAACAGUGUUGACACUUUAGUUAGAUGCAGGUGUCUCUUAAUCUUUUCUGCUUUUGCAAGAAAACAGAACUUGAGUUGUUGGGGAGGUUUGAAGCCUUUAAUCUAAUUUCUAACUCCAAAUGUUGCUUAUAUUUCAAAAUUUGGCACAAAUGGAGUUAGUUGCACAGGAAUCUUUCAUCAACGUGGGAGUAGAUUUGAGGAGAUUUCAGGAGAUUAGCCACUGCACUAACACUCACACGAACGUACUGUGCAACAGAGGCUCCAUGCCCAGAUUUGGAGAAUUUUUUCAUUCUCCAGACAGAAAGUGGCUUAUUCCUAAUUUUGCAGGUUCAACAUCACAGGGCCAAUCAGGAAGAACAGUGUGUUGCCUUCUUAACUAACAGUGUUUGUUCUGAAGGUUGUCAAAAUGAAUUUAAAUAUAUUUUCAACCAAUAAACUCUGGUCUGGUCCCAUGAGUGUUACUCCUAACUUUCUCCUACCCGACAGCAUGUCUUGGGUUUAAACUGUCAGGGUCACCCCUAAGGUUUCCCCUUCAACUUUCUUCAAUCCUUCCUUUAUUGUCUCCAUUCUUUAGUCCUCUCUCCUUAACCUAAC